UACGAAGGGGGCUAGCGUUGCUCGGAAUCACUGGGCGUAAAGGGUGCGUAGGCGGGUCUUUAAGUCAGGGGUGAAAUCCUGGAGCUCAACUCCAGAACUGCCUUUGAUACUGAAGAUCUUGAGUUCGGGAGAGGUGAGUGGAACUGCGAGUGUAGAGGUGAAAUUCGUAGAUAUUGGGAAGAACACCGGUGGUGAAGGCGGCUCACUGGCUCAUUACUGACGCUCAGGCGCGAUAGCGUGGGGAUCAAACAGG
rnacentral:rRNA from 1 species